UGGGGAAUAUUGCACAAUGGGCGCAAGCCUGAUGCAGCCAUGCCGCGUGUAUGAAGAAGGCCUUCGGGUUGUAAAGUACUUUCAGCGGGGAGGAAGGGAGUAAAGUUAAUACCUUUACUCAUUGACGUUACCCGCAGAAGAAGCACCGGCUAACUCCGUGCCAGCAGCCGCGGUAAUACGGAGGGUGCAAGCAUUAAUCGGAAUUACUGGGCGUAAAGCGCACGCAGGCGGUUUGUUAAGUCAGAUGUGAAAUCCCCGGGCUCAACCUGGGAACUGCAUCUGAUACUGGCAAGCUUGAGUCUCGUAGAGGGGGGUAGAAUUCCAGGUGUAGCGGUGAAAUGCGUAGAGAUCUGGAGGAAUACCGGUGGCGAAGGCGGCCCCCUGAACGAAGACUGACGCUCAGGUGCGAAAGCGUGGGGAGCAAACAGG
rnacentral:rRNA from 1 species